rnacentral:lncRNA from 1 species
AGGCCACGCUCAGCGCCACGGCGGCCUCGGGUUUGGCCGCAUCGGCUGGCUCGUCGGGCGCCGGACGCCGCAGGCCGCAGCCGACCGCGCGAUCCGGUGGCGCGGGCGCUAUGCCCGACCAUUUGGCCGUUGCGCUGUCUCGUUGCAUGUGUGCGCGCCGCCGGUACACAAACUUCUCUCUCUCUCUCUUGGUUUUUUGUUAUUGGCAGGCGCGCCAAAGUGACGAAAGGAUCGUCGGGCCACGAGCAAGGGGAGGUGGCCGAUGGGACACGGUUGCGCCUCUUUUGGUCCUCUCGCUUCCGCUCCUCCUUUGAGCCCUUUACGGCCGGCCGGCGUUGGCCGCGUCGCGCACAGAGAAAAAGAGAUCAAAGAAAACGAAACACCAAAAAAACCGAGAAAAG